CCUCCCAUUUAGUGGGGAAUAACUGUUGGAAACGACAGUUAAUACCGCAUAUGUUAUUUGUUUGCAAUAAUAAAUAAUGAAAGGAGCAUUUGCUUCGCUAAUUGAUGGGGAUGCGGCGCAUUAGCUAGUUGGUAAGGUAAUGGCUUACCAAGGCAACGAUGCGUAGCCGAUCUGAGAGGAUGAACGGCCACAUUGGGACUGAGACACGGCCCAAACUUCUACGGAAGGCAGCAGUAGGGAAUUUUUCACAAUGGGCGAAAGCCUGAUGGAGCAAUGCCGCGUGGCUGAUGAAGGUCUUC
rnacentral:rRNA from 1 species